CCGCGCCAGACGGGGAGUUAGCGGUGCCCUAUACCUGCAAUCCGCUGUAGCAGGGUUGGAUUCCCGUCCCGAGGCAUUCGUUUGUAGGGUCUGGCACUGAUAAGGAGUGUUGAUGAUUUGGUCCUGUGCAACUGGCGUCCGUGAACCAUGUCAGGUCUUGACGGAAGCAGCAUUAAGCGGAUGAGCUGGUGUGCCGCAGGAUGGCCUGAUUGGAGCCACCUGUCAGGGUUCCGCCUGGAAACGUUAUGUCGAGGGAUGGGUGCGCG
rnacentral:SRP_RNA from 1 species